rnacentral:rRNA from 1 species
AGAGUUUGAUCAUGGCUCAGGAUGAACGCUAGCUACAGGCUUAACACAUGCAAGUCGAGGGGAAACGAUAUUGGAAGCUUGCUUCCGAUAGGCGUCGACCGGCGCACGGGUGAGUAACGCGUAUCCAACCUGCCCACCACUUGGGGAUAACCUUGCGAAAGUAAGACUAAUACCCAAUGACGUCUCUAGAAGACAUCUGAAAGAGAUUAAAGAUUUAUCGGUGAUGGAUGGGGAUGCGUCUGAUUAGCUUGUUGGCGGGGUAACGGCCCACCAAGGCUACGAUCAGUAGGGGUCUGAGAGGAGUCCCCCANAUUGGAACUGAGACACGGUCCAAACUCCUACGGGAGGCA